UACGUAGGGAGCAAGCGUUGUCCGGAAUCAUUGGGCGUAAAGCGCGCGUAGGUGGCUUCGUAAGUCCGUUGUGAAAGUCAAAGGCUCAACCUUUGAAAGCCGAUGGAUACUGUGGAGCUAGAGUACGGAAGAGGCGAGUGGAAUUCCUGGUGUAGCGGUGGAAUGCGCAGAUAUCGAGGAGGAACACCAAUAGCGAAGGCAGCUCGCUGGACGUUACUGACACUGGAGGCGCGAAAGCGUGGGGAGCGAACAGG
rnacentral:rRNA from 1 species